rnacentral:lncRNA from 1 species
UCUUUUUCCACCUGUCUGCCACUGACCGCUAGGCCUCCCUUGUCAUCUCUCUCCCUGGUUCGUGUUCUUCCUGGAGACCAAUCCCGAUCCAAAUCCUCGUCUGGAUUCGGCUCGGAUCUUGCACCUCUCGCACUCCCACCUCCAUAUAAAUAUUCCCCAAGUCUGACUCUUCUGAUUUUUGCAAAAAUCUCCUGCUCCCGUGCCCUAUCUCGCCCGUACCAGAAGAUCGAAUCUCGCCGGAGUUUCGCCGCUGCUGACCUCCGCCGUCGUCGUUUCCAUUGCCUAUAGUGGGUCCCAGCACCUCUUCUUGCUCCUGUUAUUUUUGCCUUGAUCUCCUCUAUCGCCCUAACCAUCUAUCUCGCACAGGGAAGCUCCCGAGCACUUCGAACACCGUCGCCUUUGCUCCAGACGAGCGGCACCGCCUCUGCAGACCGUCCCCGAUCCCGAGAAGUGCACCUCCUGGGGCGCCGUGCCACGCCGCAUCCGACUCGAUCCUUUUCGAGUCCACCCUUAGACGUCUCCACCGGCGAAGUCCGAGCCGCCGUGCUUCAUCUUGCCCAAGUCCGGCAGCCUUCCUCUGUUUCUCCGGUGAGCAUCCCCGUCUGUCCGAUCUCUCUCGGACGGCCGAGAUUGAUUCGCAAUAUUUUUUUAUCACCAAAACGUUUUCCUUUAAGUUGUGGCCAUUCGCCGUUUAGACCUCACAGUGAGCACUUCCGAGCCAAUAGAAAUACGCCACGUGAAAGUUCGCUACAGCAGCCUCUGCAGCAGUAAAAAAACAGAGAGUUCUUUUGUCUUUUUUACAUAUUUUUCACCUAAUUUCAAUUAGCUAUAACUUGAAAUCCGUAACUCCAAAUUCAUCGAUUAUUUUUCCUGUGUACUCGUAGUGACCAGUAAAAUACCAUAGAACCAAAAUUUCACAUUUUUGAACUGUUUAAAUUUGAAUUUGCUCGAAUUUAAACUAAACCUUCCGGAGGCCAUAUCUUUCAAACCAUAGAUCCAAAUUAGUUGAUUAUUUUUGUUGUGAUCCUACUAGCAUGUAGAUAAUUUAUACCUACAGUUAUGUUCUGUUAAUUAUGUUUUUAUUUGAAUUCCUUAUUGUUUACUUUAUUUUGGCGUUAUGUGAGUAUGGUUUAUGUAUCAGUGCCUUUGUUAAUCGUAUAGAUUGUCCGGAGUGCGAAGCGGAUCAAAAUUGAGUGUUAGAGUACUUCAGCACUGUUCAAGGCAAGUUGCACUUUUGAUUAUAGCUAAUCCUAUAUUUCUGCUAUGCAUGUGUAGUUGUUGUGUUAUGAUAUAUAUUUGGUUUGAUCUGUGUAUUCCAUGUUGUCAUAUUCGUGGAUGGUGUGCUUUAUGUGAUGUGUGAUUAGCUUGUUGUGGUAUACGUGGGCAUGUGUCGAGUGAUCCAUUAAAGUGGUGAGUCUUUAUAGCUGUAGGCUCGGGCUUUUUCUCAGGUGAAUGCGUCAAUGGCUGAGCGCUCUAUUGUCCCUAGAGAAUGCACCAUGGCUAAGCGCACUUGAGGUUUCGGGGCUUAAAUCGGGUGAAUGUGUUGAUGGCUGAGCGCUCUAUUGUCCCUAGAGAAUGCGCCACGACUGAGCGCACUUGAGAUUUCUUGAAGAUCUUUGUCAUCUGUGUUUGUGUGCACCUUGCCUAUGUAGUGGAGGUAGGUGAAGGUAGUUUUACACAAAACCAACUUGAGUGUAUUGUUUGUCAUACCUUGCAUGUUGAUGUAGGUUUGCUUUUAUCAUUAUGUGUAAUUUGCCAAUACAUUCAAUGUAUUGAUCCUUGUGGAUGCAACUUAUCAUGUUGCAAGAUUUUCAGAUGAUCAGUGAGAUACAGUAGGGUCGCGAGUCUUCACUCAACAUUUUCGCAAGUGGGUAGUGAUGGGACUUAUCGUUUACUUAUGUUACAUUUCCGCUGUUAUUAUUAAAUAAAGUUAGCUAUGUGCUGCUCUGUUUGUAAUACUUUAUGAAUUCUGGAUCAUACAUUAUAGUAAAUGAUGCACUUGUUAUUUAAUAUUCAU